GAUAUGGCGGGAUGUGGUCCUGUGGUUGGGUCACCAGGAUCCAUUAGUUGGGUUGUAGGGGAUCCCCUGGUUAAGACAUGGAGGCCCAGGACCCAGUGUGUGUGCGGGGGUGCUGAGAUAGGAAGAGC